AGGGCUGUAGUUCAGUUGGUAGAGCAUCGGUCUCCAAAACCGAGUGUCGCGGGUUCGAGUCCUGCCGGCCCUG
rnacentral:tRNA from 2 species